rnacentral:rRNA from 1 species
AACGCGGGGCAACCUGGCGACGAGUGGCGAACGGGUGAGUAACGCAUCGGAACGUGCCCAGUAGUGGGGGAUAGCCCGGCGAAAGCCGGAUUAAUACCGCAUACGACCUAAGGGUGAAAGCGGGGGAUCGCAAGACCUCGCGCUAUUGGAGCGGCCGAUGUCAGAUUAGGUAGUUGGUGGGGUAAAGGCCUACCAAGCCGACGAUCUGUAGCUGGUCUGAGAGGACGACCAGCCACACUGGGACUGAGACACGGCCCAGACUCCUACGGGAGGCAGCAGUGGGGAAUUUUGGACAAUGGGCGCAAGCCUGAUCCAGCCAUGCCGCGUGCGGGAAGAAGGCCUUCGGGUUGUAAACCGCUUUUGUCAGGGAAGAAAAGGCUCGAACUAAUACUUUGGGCUCAUGACGGUACCUGAAGAAUAAGCACCGGCUAACUACGUGCCAGCAGCCGCGGUAAUACGUAGGGUGCAAGCGUUAAUCGGAAUUACUGGGCGUAAAGCGUGCGCAGGCGGUCUUGUAAGACAGAGGUGAAAUCCCCGGGCUCAACCUGGGAACUGCCUUUGUGACUGCAAGGCUUGAGUACGGUAGAGGGGGAUGGAAUUCCGCGUGUAGCAGUGAAAUGCGUAGAUAUGCGGAGGAACACCGAUGGCGAAGGCAAUCCCCCUGGACCUGUACUUGACGCUCAUGCACGAAAGCGUGGGGAGCAAACAGG